rnacentral:rRNA from 1 species
UACGAAGGGGGGCUAGCGUUGCUCGGAAUGACUGGGCGUAAAGGGCGCGUAGGCGGUUUGUACAGUCAGGUGUGAAAUUCCCGGGCUCAACCUGGGGGCUGCACUUGAUACGUAUGGACUGGAGUGGGGAAGAGGGUCGUGGAAUUCCCAGUGUAGAGGUGAAAUUCGUAGAUAUUGGGAAGAACACCGGUGGCGAAGGCGGCGAGCUGGUCCAUUACUGACGCUGAGGCGCGACAGCGUGGGGGAGCAAACAGG